AAAGAGAAGGAGGCGGUGGCGGCAGCCGCGAGCAGCAUUGGUGGGAGAAAAGCACGACGGGUAAAAUGGCUGAUGGCGCCUGUGGGGUCGUUGUAAACUAAGGGUGUCGGCAGCGCCCCCUUUGGGGAAGCUUGGAAAGGCAGGCAAGGAAAUGCCCUGGAGAAAGGAAGUUGGGAACGGUGCGAGCGAGGAGUUGAGUUUUGACGUUCGUGGCAAGCUCGGAGUGUAAAUUGCAGCUUUACUCCUUCCUCUUUGGCUGACUUCACCGUCUGGGCUACGGUCUUGGAUUUCUCCCGUGACCCCAGAUCCAGUGUGCUUGUGACUGAUGGCAGACUUGAAUCUGGGUCUCUCUGAUCCGACACACCUUCAUUACAAAUCACACUGGCUCUUGUGUGCUUUAGGUAUGUGAUCCUUUUGAGUGUGUAAAGCUGGUACGUGAAAACCUGGACCUAUUGAGCCAAAUAAGACACAGAGUACUUAUUAAACCAUGUUAGCUUACAUGUCGUGCUGUGCUAUGAACACUAUAUUGAAAAUUUAUACUUAAAUAA